rnacentral:rRNA from 1 species
AUCUCUGUAGAGUCUGCAUAUCAAUAAGCGGAGGAAAAGAAACUAACUAGGAUUCCCUCAAUAACGGCGAGUGAAGCGGGAAGAGCUCAAAUUUGAAAUCUUCAAGGUUCUACCUUGACGAAUUGUAGUUUAAAGAAGUGUUUUCUGUUGGAGUUUUGGUAAAAGUUCUUUGGAAUAGGACAUCAUAGAGGGUGAGAAUCCCGUAUUUGACCAUUACUUUCCAGCUUUGUGAUACACUUUCAAAGAGUCGGAUUGUUUGGGAAUGCAGUCCAAAAUGGGUGGUAAAUUUCAUCUAAAGCUAAAUAUUGGCGAGAGACCGAUAGCGAACAAGUACCGUGAGGGAAAGAUGAAAAGAACUUUGAAAAGAGAGUUAAACAGUACGUGAAAUUGUCAAAAGGGAAGCGUUUGACACCAGUGUUGUUUUCUCGAAAAUCAAUUAAAAAAGGCAGGAUUUUGUGUUGUAUUGACUUUAUCAGCUUUCUGCACUCUUUUCUUGUCUUUUUUAAUGCGCUUUUCGUUUAACAAGUCAACAUCAAUUUCUUUUGUUGUAAAAGGGUCAUUGGAAGGUGGCUUUCUUUUCGGAGAAAGUGUUUAUAGCCUUUGGCUUCUGCAAUCGGAGAGAUUGAGGUCUGCAGCGUAGAUCCUUCGGGGCUAGAUACGUAGAUGCUAAGUUAUAGUUUUUUAUAGACAACUUGUUGACUAUAAUUAAUCAUGUAGCUUACUCGUUUGCGCUAUUUUACCUACGCUUAGGAUGUUGAAGUCAUCGUAUCGCGC